AUACGGAGGAUCCGAGCGUUAUCCGGAUUUAUUGGGUUUAAAGGGAGCGUAGGCGGGAGCUUAAGUCAGCGGUUAAAUGGUGCGGCUCAACCGUGCCCUGCCGUUGAAACUGGGUUUCUUGAGAGUGCAAGAGGCGGAUGGAAUUCAUGGUGUAGCGGUGAAAUGCUUAGAUAUCAUGAAGAACUCCGAUUGCGAAGGCAGUCCGCUGGGGCACGUCUGACGCUGAUGCUCGAAGGUGCGGGAAUCAAACAGGAUUAGAUACCCUGGUAGUCCGCACGGUAAACGAUGAUUACCCGCUGUCGGCGGCAGACAGUCGGCGGCCAAGCGAAAGCGAUAAGUAAUCCACCUGGGGAGUACGCCGGCAACGGUGAAACUCAAAUGAAUUGG
rnacentral:rRNA from 1 species